GGCGCCGUACCCAAGUGGUAAGGGAGAGGUCUGCAAAACCUCGAUGCACCGGUUCGAUUCCGGUCGGCGCCUCCA
rnacentral:tRNA from 1 species